rnacentral:rRNA from 1 species
CUAUCAGUUGGGGACAACCUGUGGAAACGCAGGCUAAUACCGAAUACGUUCUACGGAAUAAAGGUGGCCUCUGCUUGCAAGCUAUCGCUGAUAGAUUGGCCCGCGUUGGAUUAGCUAGUUGGUGGGGUAAAGGCCUACCAAGGCGACGAUCCAUAGCUGGUUUGAGAGGAUGAUCAGCCACACUGGGACUGAGACACGGCCCAGACUCCUACGGGAGGCAGCAGUGGGGAAUAUUGGACAAUGGGCGCAAGCCUGAUCCAGCAAUGCCGCGUGUGUGAAGAAGGCCUGAGGGUUGUAAAGCACUUUCAAUAGUGAAGAAGGGUAAUAGAUUAAUACUCUAUUACAUUGACGUUAACUAUAGAAGAAGCACCGGCUAACUCUGUGCCAGCAGCCGCGGUAAUACAGAGGGUGCAAGCGUUAAUCGGAAUUACUGGGCGUAAAGCGCGCGUA